UCUUCUUCUCUUUUCUUCUUCUCGUUCUUCACCUGUUGGAGAAUUAGGAAUCGAAAUUAUCGAUUUAGAUGAUCAAGAGAAGCAGGGAACGAUCGAGGGUUAGUUUAUGGUGGUGGUUGAUUAUUUUGGCGAACUCAAAAUCAACAAAUAAGUUAAUCUGUAUUAAAAACGAUCGAUUAAAAGAAUGAACUAGUGGAUUGAGGAUCUCGAGGUAGGCGUGGCUUGUCAUCAAAUCAGCUUCAGUUUUCCAGAUAAGACGAUGUACGUGAAGACUUCCGUUUCCGUAUCUUAGAGCUUUAUCGAUAUAGAGAUGUCGUGUAUCUUUUAUUAUAUGUAUCUUUAUUCUGUAAAACAACACAUUAUUGUAUUCAUAUCUAUCAGAAGGAAUUUAUCUAUACCA